UCAGACCCGUGGCAAAUAGCUCAGUAGCACGUGGCCAAUCUACCCUCUGGAACGGCAUACCCUCGGGAAACUGAGGUUAAUUCCGUACACCGCUCUCAACCUGGAAUGGUGGGAGCUCGAAACGCUCCGGCGCCGGAGGAUGAGGCUGCGGCCGAUUAGGUUGACGGUGGGGUAAUGGCCCACCGUGCCGAUAAUCGGUCUGGGUCAUGAGAGUGAGAACCCAGAGACGGAAUCUGAGACAAGAUUCCGGGCCCUACGGGGCGCAGCAGGCGCGAAACCUUUACACUGCACGCCAGUGCGAUAAGGGGACCCCAAGUGCGCAGGCAUAGUGCCUGCGCUUUUCUGGACUGUAGGGCGGUCCAGGAACAAGGGCUGGGCAAGACCGGUGCCAGCCGCCGCGGUAAUACCGGCAGCCCAAGUGAUGGCCGCUGUUAUUGGGCCUAAAGCGUCCGUAGCUGGCCGCACAAGUCCGUCGGGAAAUCCGCCCGCUCAACGGGCGGCCGUCCGGCGGAACCUGUGUGGCUUGGGACCGGGAGGCCUGAGGGGUACGAUCGGGGUAGGAGUGAAAUCCUGUAAUCCCGCUCGGACCGCCGAUGGGGAAACCACCUCAGGAGAACGGAUCCGACAGUGAGGGACGAAAGCCAGGGUCUCGAACCGGAUUAGAUACCCGGGUAGUCCUGGCCGUAAACGAUGCUUGUUAGGUGUGACUCCCACUAUGAGUGGGUGUUGUGCCGUAGGGAAGCCG
rnacentral:rRNA from 1 species